UUCAAUGAUUGCUACAUUGGUAUUCGCGCGGGAUCUCUAGGCCGCCCGCUCGUGUAUAAAACUGGAGCUACAGCGGGAGGAACCAGCAGUCGCAGCACAGCAAACACUCAGCCAGCAGCUAUGAAGGUCGUCGCUCUCCUGCUUGUGGUCUGCGCCUCCGUGGCCUGGGCAAAGCCUCUCUGCUUCGGAGGCAUCUGCAUUCCUAACAGUCAGGCCACAGGGGGUGCUGCAGGCACCGUCACCAGUGGCACCAGCAAUACACCUGGUGGCACCAGCCAGGUUACGUCCGUCGGCUCCAACGCAGGGGGAUCCGCCAAAGGACCGUGCGCAAACAGCCACAACUCCGCACAUGCCUCCAACGUGAACGGACAGGGACUGCUGGGCAACGCGGAGGGAAGCGACACCGGAGCCGUCUCAAAUCAGAACACCGGCUGCUAAAUGACUCAGUCACAGUCAUCUCGGCAUGCGUCGCAAUGGCACAUGUGAAACGCUUGUUACGUCUACAGACGUUGUGAUAUCGGGCGUCGGUUGUGACAUGUGAUCGAACUGCACAAUACAGGCUUAUCCGGACAUA